GGAAAGCGCUGGAGCCCGGCGCCUGGUUUGAGAUCGUUGAAAGUGGAAGCGGAGUGCAAUUGAGCCCUCCAUUCCCCGCCGUGGCGAUCCAGCGCCCUCUUUUCAAGCCUAGAUCGCUCUUUUUUGCUAGGAUCGGGUCGGAUUCAGCAACGAGGCAGGCUCCUCCAGCCGCGAAGAAGGUCGAGCAUUAUACGGUGUUUCGAAUCGCUGGCGAUGGACGAUGCAUGUUUAGAGCUUUGGUAAGUGAUUUCUUUCUCGUUCUUUUUCUUUGUAUGUGUCUACCGCUACCUCUCUUUUUCUGUUUUAUUUGUUCUCUUUGUUUGAGUAGGCGCAAGGUCUCGCUGCAAACAAGGGAGUCCGAAUGAGCGGUAAAGAGGAGAAGGAAGAGGCUGGUAAGAGCACUUUGUAAUUUUCUUCUCUCCUUCAAAAGCUCGUUUCUCGCAGAUCAACUGAAAAUGGCUGUGCGAGAGGCACUCUGUACAAGUGAGCAAGAACGUCGACAGCAUGAAGACGCUCUUAUCUCAGUGACGGUGGACGAGUCUCUUAAAAGAUACUGCCAGAGAAUAGUGAGACAAGAUUUUUGGGGAGGCGACUCGGAACUUCUGGUUUUGUCACGGAUGCUUGGACAACCAAUUACAGUAUACAUUCCCGAAUCCGAGCUCAAGCAGGGAGCUCGCUGGGGCACAGGCUACAUUCCA